UGGUGGGAAUGUUUGGUGGAAUGUGGCACUGGAUGGAGCUGCAGGAGCAGCACCGGGAACAGCGCGAGGAGCUCCGCAGGAAAAAGGAGAUGGAGGAGCUCCGGAGCUACUCGUCCCUGAUGAAGGCAGAGAACAUGAGCUCCAACCAGGACGGGAACGACUCCGAUGAUUUCAUGUGAGGAUCCUUCGGGAAUUCCCGGGAACAGGAGCUGGGGCAGCUCCCGGACUUUGGGGGGAAUUCCCGGGAAUGUCGGAGCCAACAAAGCCGGGAUCGGCCGGAGCCGCCUCUGGAA